rnacentral:lncRNA from 1 species
GGUUGUAAGAGAGAAAGAGAGGAAGUGGAUAGGGUUUGUAGGAAUUGAAUUGGAAUGAGAAUGCCUUAACCCAUCUGCCGACCCCUUUAUAUAGAAUAUGAGUGGAUGCCAGAUAAGAAGCCAUGUCCCAAACCAAUCACCAUACAAAUCACCAGAGUGCCUUCAAAUAGAAGGACUCAUCGAAACUCGAUACGUCGAUUCCUACCUUCCCACGCGCACGGCA